AUGGUGCAAGCGUUAUCCGGAUUUACUGGGUGUAAAGGGAGAGUAGGUGGCAUGGCAAGUCAGAAGUGAAAGCCCGGGGCUCAACCCCGGGACUGCUUUUGAAACUGUCAGGCUGGAGUGCAGGAGAGGUAAGUGGAAUUCCUAGUGUAGCGGUGAAAUGCGUAGAUAUUAGGAGGAACACCAGUGGCGAAGGCGGCUUACUGGACUGUAACUGACACUGAGGCUCGAAAGCGUGGGGAGCAA
rnacentral:rRNA from 1 species